GCCUUCGUGGUGUAGUGGUCAGCACGCUGGGCGCGUAUUCCAGAGGUCCGUGGUUCGAUUCCCGGCGAAGGCG
rnacentral:tRNA from 1 species